rnacentral:rRNA from 1 species
UACGGGGGGAGCAAGCGUUGUUCGGAUUUACUGGGCGUAAAGGGCGCGUAGGCGGCGCAACAAGUCACUUGUGAAAUCUUCAGGCUUAACCUGAAGCGGCCAAGUGAUACUGUCGUGCUAGAGUGCGGAAGGGGCUACUGGAAUUCUCGGUGUAGCGGUGAAAUGCGUAGAUAUCGAGAGGAACACCUGCGGCGAAGGCGGGUAGCUGGGCCGACACUGACGCUGAUGCGCGAAAGCCAGGGGAGCGAACGGG